CAUGCAAGUCGAGCGGUAAGGCCCUUCGGGGUACACGAGCGGCGAACGGGUGAGUAACACGUGAGCAACCUGCCCCUGACUCUGGGAUAAGCGGUGGAAACGCCGUCUAAUACCGGAUACGACCCGCCACCUCAUGGUGGAGGGUGGAAAGUUUUUCGGUCAGGGAUGGGCUCGCGGCCUAUCAGCUUGUUGGUGGGGUAACGGCCUACCAAGGCGAUUACGGGUAGCCGGCCUGAGAGGGCGACCGGCCACACUGGGACUGAGACACGGCCCAGACUCCUGCGGGAGGCAGCAGUGGGGAAUAUUGCGCAAUGGGCGAAAGCCUGACGCAGCGACGCCGCGUGGGGGAUGACGGCCUUCGGGUUGUAAACCUCUUUUACCACCAACGCAGGCUCGAAGUUCUCUUCGGGUUGACGGUAGGUGGGGAAUAAGGACCGGCUAACUACGUGCCAGCAGCCGCGGUAAUACGUAGGGUCCGAGCGUUGUCCGGAAUUAUUGGGCGUAAAGAGCUCGUAGGCGGCGUGUCGCGUCUGCUGUGAAAGACCGGGGCUUAACUCCGGUUCUGCAGUGGAUACGGGCAUGCUAGAGGUAGGUAGGGGAGACUGGAAUUCCUGGUGUAGCGGUGAAAUGCGCAGAUAUCAGGAGGAACACCGGUGGCGAAGGCGGGUCUCUGGGCCUUACCUGACGCUGAGGAGCGAAAGCAUGGGGAGCGAACAGGAUUAGAUACCCUGGUAGUCCAUGCCGUAAACGUUGGGCGCUAGGUGUGGGGACUUUCCACGGUUUCCGCGCCGUAGCUAACGCAUUAAGCGCCCCGCCUGGGGAGUACGGCCGCAAGGCUAAAACUCAAAGGAAUUGACGGGGGCCCGCACAAGCGGCGGAGCAUGUUGCUUAAUUCGACGCAACGCGAAGAACCUUACCAAGGUUUGACAUCACCCGUGGACUCGCAGAGAUGUGAGGUCAUUUAGUUGGCGGGUGACA
rnacentral:rRNA from 1 species